UACGGAGGGUGCAAGCGUUAUCCGGAUUCACUGGGGUUAAAGGGUGCGUAGGAGGGCAGGUAAGUCAGUGGUGAAAUCUUCGAGCUUAACUCGGAAACUGCCGUUGAUACUAUCUGUCUUGAAUACCGUGGAGAUGAGCGGAAUAUGUCAUGUAGCGGUGAAAUGCUUAGAUAUGACAUAGAACACCAAUUGCGAAGGCAGCUCGUUACACGAAUAUUGACGCUGAGGCACGAAAGCGUGGGGAUCAAACAGG
rnacentral:rRNA from 1 species